rnacentral:rRNA from 1 species
ACUCCUACGGGAGGCAGCAGUGGGGAAUAUUGGACAAUGGGCGCAAGCCUGAUCCAGCAAUGCCGCGUGAGUGAGACGGCCUUCGGGUUGUAAAGCCCUUUAGGCGGGGAAGAACGGCCGGGCGCGAAUAGCGCGUGGCUCUGACGUUACCCGCAGAAUAAGCACCGGCUAACUCCGUGCCAGCAGCCGCGGUAAU